rnacentral:rRNA from 1 species
GGGUCAGUAGGUUGGUCGUGCCACCGGUACGUACUGUUCUCACUGAUUCCUCCUUCCUGAAGAACCGUAAUGCCAUUAAUUUGGUGUUGCGGGGAAACAGGACUGUUACUUUGAAAAAAUUAGAGUGUUUAAAGCAAGCUAACGCUUGAAUACAUUAGCAUGGAAUAAUGAAUUAGGACGAUCGAUCCUAUUUUGUUGGUUUCUAGGAUUGACGUA